UACGUAGGGUGCGAGCGUUGUCCGGAAUUAUUGGGCGUAAAGAGCUCGUAGGUGGCGGGUCACGUCGGGUGUGAAAGCCCGGGGCUUAACUCCGGGUCUGCAUUCGAUACGGGCAGGCUAGAGUUCGGUAGGGGAGACUGGAAUUCCUGGUGUAGCGGUGAAAUGCGCAGAUAUCAGGAGGAACACCAGUGGCGAAGGCGGCUAUCUGGACGGUUACUGACGCUAAGACUCGAAAGCGUGGGGAGCAAACAGG
rnacentral:rRNA from 1 species